AGAUUGAACGCUGGCGGCAGGCCUAACACAUGCAAGUCGAGCGGUAGAGAGGUGCUUGCAUCUCUUGAGAGCGGCGGACGGGUGAGUAAUGCCUAGGAAUCUGCCUAGUGGUGGGGGAUAACGUUCGGAAACGGACGCUAAUACCGCAUACGUCCUACGGGAGAAAGCGGGGGACCUUCGGGCCUCGCGCCAUUAGAUGAGCCUAGGUCGGAUUAGCUAGUUGGUGAGGUAAUGGCUCACCAAGGCGACGAUCCGUAACUGGUCUGAGAGGAUGAUCAGUCACACUGGAACUGAGACACGGUCCAGACUCCUACGGAGGCAGCAGUGGGGAAUAUUGGACAAUGGGCGAAAGCCUGAUCCAGCCAUGCCGCGUGUGUGAAGAAGGUCUUCGGAUUGUAAAGCACUUUAAGUUGGAGGAAGGUUGUAACCUAAUACGUUGCAACUUUGACGUUACCGACAGAAUAAACACCGGCUAACUCGUGCCAGCAGCCG
rnacentral:rRNA from 1 species